AAAUUGAAGAGUUUGAUCAUGGCUCAGAUUGAACGCUGGCGGCAGGCCUAACACAUGCAAGUCGAGCGGUAGCACAGAGAGCUUGCUCUCGGGUGACGAGCGGCGGACGGGUGAGUAAUGUCUGGGAAACUGCCUGAUGGAGGGGGAUAACUACUGGAAACGGUAGCUAAUACCGCAUAACGUCGCAAGACCAAAGUGGGGGA
rnacentral:rRNA from 1 species